rnacentral:rRNA from 1 species
UAGGGAAUCUUCCACAAUGGACGCAAGUCUGAUGGAGCAACGCCGCGUGAGUGAAGAAGGUUUUCGGACCGUAAAGCUCUGUUGUUGGUGAAGAAGGAUAGAGGUAGUAACUGGCCUUUAUUUGACGGUAAUCAACCAGAAAGUCACGGCUAACUACGUGCCAGCAGCCGCGGUAAAUACGUAGGUGGCAAGCGUUGUCCGGAUUUAUUGGGCGUAAAGCGAGCGCAGGCGGAAGAAUAAGUCUGAUGUGAAAGCCCUCGGCUUAACCGAGGAAUUGCAUCGGAAACUGUUUUCUGAGUGCAGAAGAGGAGAGUAGAACUCCAUGUGUAGCGGUGGAAUGCGUAGAUAUAUGGAAGAAUACCAGUGGCGAAGGCGGCUCUCUGGUCUGCAACUGACGCUGAGGCUCGAAAAGCAUGGGUAGCGAACAGGAUUAGAUACCCUGGUAGUCCAUGCCGUAAAACGAUGAGUGCUAAGUGUUGGGAGGCUUCCGCCUCUCAGUGCUGCAGCUAACGCAUUAAGCACUUCGCCUGGGGGAGUACGACCGCAAGGUUGAAAC